AGAGUUUGAUCAUGGCUCAGGACGAACGCUGGCGGCGUGCUUAACACAUGCAAGUCGAACGAUGAAGCCUUAGCUUGCUUUGGUGGAUUAGUGGCGAACGGGUGAGUAACACGUGAGCAACGUGCCCAGGACUCUGGAAUAACCGCCGGAAACGGUGGCUAAUACUGGAUAGGUGCCAAGGCCGCAUGGUCUUUGGUUGGAAAGAUUUUUCGGUUCUGGAUCGGCUCGCGGCCUAUCAGCUUGUUGGUGGGGUAAUGGCCUACCAAGGCGACGACGGGUAGCCGGCCUGAGAGGGUGACCGGCCACACUGGGACUGAGACACGGCCCAGACUCCUACGGGAGGCAGCAGUGGGGAAUAUUGCACAAUGGGCGCAAGCCUGAUGCAGCAACGCCGCGUGAGGGAUGACGGCCUUCGGGUUGUAAACCUCUUUUAGUAGGGAAGAAGCGAAAGUGACGGUACCUGCAGAAAAAGCACCGGCUAACUACGUGCCAGCAGCCGCGGUAAUACGUAGGGUGCAAGCGUUGUCCGGAAUUAUUGGGCGUAAAGAGCUCGUAGGCGGUUUGUCGCGUCUGCUGUGAAAUUCCGAGGCUCAACCCUCGGGCGUGCAGUGGGUACGGGCAGACUUGAGUGCGGUAGGGGGAAGAUUGGAAUUCCUGGUGGUAGCGGUGGAAUGCGCAGAUAUCAGAGGAACACCGAAUGGCGAAAGCAGAUCUCUGGGCCGUUACUGACGCUGAGGAGCGAAGCAUGGGGAGCGACAGGAUAGAUACCCUGGUAGUCCAUGCCGGUAAACGUGGGCGCU
rnacentral:rRNA from 1 species